UACGUAGGGUGCAAGCGUUGUCCGGAAUUAUUGGGCGUAAAGAGCUCGUAGGCGGUCUGUUACGUCGGCUGUGAAAACCUGGGGCUCAACCCCGGGCCUGCAGCCGAUACGGGCAGACUAGAAUUCGGUAGGGGAGACUGGAAUUCCUGGUGUAGCGGUGAAAUGCGCAGAUAUCAGGAGGAACACCAGUGGCGAAGGCGGUUCUCUGGGCCGAUACUGACGCUGAGGAGCGAAAGCGUGGGGAGCGAACAGG
rnacentral:rRNA from 1 species